rnacentral:rRNA from 2 species
AUUGAAGCCCCGGUAAACGGCGGCCGUAACUAUAACGGUCCUAAGGUAGCGAAAUUCCUUGUCGGGUAAGUUCCGACCUGCACGAAUGGCGUAACGACUGCCCUACUGUCUCCAACGCGGACUCAGCGAAAUUGAACUCUCCGUGAAGAUGCGGAGUUCCCGCGGUCAGACGGAAAGACCCCGUGAACCUUUACUAUAGCUUCGCAGUGGCAACAGGACCGUUAUGUGUAGGAUAGGCGGGAGACAUUGAAGCAGGGACGCUAGUUCUUGUGGAGUCACCCUUGAAAUACCGCCCUUAACUGUCUUGUUGUCUAACCGCGGCCCGUCUAUCCGGGUCCGGGACCCUGCGUGGUGGGUAGUUUGACUGGGGCGGUCGCCUCCCAAAGAGUAACGGAGGCGCGCGAAGGUGAGCUCAGAGCGGUCGGAAAUCGCUCGUUGAGUGCAAGGGCAUAAGCUCGCCUGACUGUGACACCGACGGGUGGAACAGAGACGAAAGUCGGUCCUAGUGAUCCGGUGGUCCCGCGUGGAAGGGCCAUCGCUCAACGGAUAAAAGGUACUCCGGGGAUAACAGGCUGAUACCCCCCAAGAGUCCACAUCGACGGGGGUGUUUGGCACCUCGAUGUCGGCUCAUCUCAUCCUGGGGCUGGAGCAGGUCCCAAGGGUAUGGCUGUUCGCCAUUUAAAGAGGUACGUGAGCUGGGUUUAGAACGUCGUGAGACAGUUCGGUCCCUAUCUGCCGUGGGUGUACGAGACUUGAGAGGAUCUGUCCCUAGUACGAGAGGACCGGGAUGGACAUACCUCUGGUGGAGCGGUUGUCACGCCAGUGGCACUGCCGCGUAGCUAUGUAUGGACUGGAUAACCGCUGAAGGCAUCUAAGCGGGAAACCAACCUCAAAACUAGGUCUCGCCUGAGAGCCGUAGUAGACCACUACGUCGAUAGGCCGGGUGUGGAAGCGUGGUAACACGUGAAGCUUACCGGUACUAAUUGCUCGAUCGGCUUC